rnacentral:rRNA from 16 species
ACUGACGGAGCCAGCGAGUCUAACCUUGGCCGAGAGGUCUUGGUAAUCUUGUGAAACUCCGUCGUGCUGGGGAUAGAGCAUUGUAAUUAUUGCUCUUCAAC